UGAAUCUGAAGACACUUACUCUUUCUUACUUUUUGGUGGCGGUGCCUUGCUUACCCUGUGGCUAGCAUCAGCUGUUGUUGGAGCAAUUGAUUCUAUCCCGGUGUUCCCCAAAUUGUUGGAGAUUGUUGGUCUUGGCUAUACAGUUUGGUUCGCAUCUCGCUAUCUGAUAUUCAAGUGCCACAUCAGGGGGUAUUCUAGACAGAGCUGUUGAAGCAGAGGAUAAGAAACAUGGAGAUAUUCUAAGACUGGACCAUUUCAGCUCAAGAUCUGUCCCAUUUUUCAAGUUUGUAUUUUUUUUCUACAUUUUUAUUUCUGCUCUCUUUGUCUCUCUCGGCUCCCUCUCUCUCUCUCUAUCUCUCACUCAUCUCUUUUUUGCAU